GAUGAACGCUGGCGGCGUGCCUAAUACAUGCAAGUCGAACGAAACUUCUUUAUCACCGAGUGCUUGCACUCACCGAUAAAGAGUUGAGUGGCGAACGGGUGAGUAACACGUGGGCAACCUGCCCAAAAGAGGGGGAUAACACUUGGAAACAGGUGCUAAUACCGCAUAACCAUAGUUACCGCAUGGUAACUAUGUAAAAGGUGGCUAUACUACCGCUUUUGGAUGGGCCCGCGGCGCAUUAGCUAGUUGGUAGGGUAAAGGCUUACCAAGGCAAUGAUGCGUAGCCGAAUUGAGAGGUUGAUCGGCCACAUUGGGACUGAGACACGGCCCAAACUCCUACGGGAGGCAGCAGUAGGGAAUCUUCCACAAUGGGCGAAAGCCUGAUGGAGCAACGCCGCGUGGGUGAAGAAGGUCUUCGGAUCGUAAAACCCUGUUGUUAGAGAAGAAAGUGCGUGAGAGUGACUGUUCACGUUUCGACGGUAUCUAACCAGAAAGCCACGGCUAACUACGUG
rnacentral:rRNA from 1 species